CUGACAUCACACUCACUUACUCCACUACCUAACAAAGUACAUAUCUUAAAUAACAUAACAAACAUUAGACACCCCUCACCGCAUUCGCGUUCACAUUCACAUACCCAAAUUAAUAAUCCUUCCUUUUCAUAGUUACAAUACAACCACCACCCCCAUCAUUAAAUCUUUUCACGUUUCCAUUCCCAAACACAUACUCGGGCUUCUCACUACUCUCAAAGGGGAACAAGAUCUGAAGCUUUGAAUGCUAUUGAAAAUAAUUGGUGAAAAUGAGGAUAAUAACAAGGAGUCAAAGUAGGAAAAAGAUAGGAAGGUACAAUCAGAAUCAGAAUGAGAGUGAAGGUGAUGGUGGAGAUAGGAUCAGUGAUUUGCCGGAUUCAAUUCUGUUGCAUAUAAUGUCAUUUAUGAUGAUUCAUGACGUUAUUAAGACUUGCAUUUUGUCAACAAGGUGGAAGAAUCUUUGGAAAUCCAUGCCUAAUAUUAAAUUACACACUGCAGACUUCAGGAACCAUUGUGUUUUCUCUGAAUUUAUUUCCGGUAUUGUGUCGUGCCGUGAUGGCCGCGGCGAUGGCGAUCACCCCUUGAUUAGCCUGGACUUCAGUCGCCAUGGCUAUUUGCAAAACUAUAUCUUGACCGAUCUCAUGAGAUAUGUGGUGUCGAAAGAUAUACAACAUCUGAAAAUUUAUGUUCCAUAUAAUCUUGGUUUGCCUUCUUUUGUGUUCUCUUGUAGCUCCUUGUUAUCGCUUGACCUAUCGGUUUCUUCGUAUGAUCUCAAGAGGAGAACAAGAAUAUCGAAGCCUUUAGAACUCCCGUCGUUGGUGAGUUUGCGCCUUGAAAGUGUUGCAAUUUCUGUAGACGAGAAUUGCCAAGCAGAACCCUUCUCAAAAUGUGUAAAGUUAAAAACCCUGUCCAUCAACAAUUUUCUGAUGAUCUCGCCUGAUUCUGACAUAGACAGGUCAGGAACUCUCGUUAUAUCGAAUGCUAAGCUCGCCAAUUUGACCAUCAAGGAGUAUAAACGGUACAAGAUUUUAGUGUCUACACCUAAUCUAAGAUCAUUUACUUUGGAUGGUUCUCCUUUUCAACAGUUACGUGGGAAGAAAGGGAUGGCUAUUGAGCUUCAAUCUUCCUCACUAGCAUAAAGGUAAUUUCCUCCUUUUGUUUCUAAUGGAGUUCCUUUUGGCCUACAAUUCUUAAAAUUAUUUUGGAAAUUUUGAACAAAGUUAGUUAGUCAUGACACUGAUAUUGUCUAUGUUGCAUUUCAGUAGUCAUAUCAUGUUACAUGUAGUAUCAUUGUCAAUAAUUGAAAGCAUUGGUAAUAUUCUGUUGGGUAAUGUGAGUAGAGCUGUAAAUAUCUUCUAAGAUUAAUGUUGUCAAAUUAACAUAAAUCUGGUUUUGAAAAAAGGUUAUUUUACAACUUUACUUUCUCCUAUAUAGUUACAAAAGCUUAAAACUUGUUUUUCUUAGAAGCUAUCUUGUAUAGCCCUUUUUUUUUUUUGAUGAAAGAGAUGAAGACUGUAGACAUGAUACAUGACAGAACUCAAUGGCGUCGUUUGAUUCAUGUAGCCGACCCCACCUAGUGGUGAAGACUGAUUUUUUUUGCUCGAAAAGUUGAAACGAACAUGCUGAGAACUAAUUAAAUCUUUGAUAUAACAAUAACUUGAGACUUUUUCCCUAGUGAGUACUUAAAGGUAACUUUUCAGCAUGCAUGCUUAUUUGUGAUGGAGUAUUGAACCACUUAUGUAAAAAUGUUAUUGCAAAUUGUUGACAUACUUCUAUAGUUCUGUUUUGCAAUGCUUUUGUUCUUCAAAGCACAUCCAAUGAAAUUAUAGGUAGCUAGCUCAUAAAUUAACCUGAUGUCAAUGACAUGAUAAUUACAGAGAGAAUAGAUUGUGACUUUUUUUCUAACUUAAAAGUGCAGUUUCUUUACAUUGCAGCGACAUUACUAGCGCUAUUAGUAUAUUGACUAUCAAGUUUUGUGAAGUCUCAUUGCAUGAGAAAUUGUAACGUACCUUGUAUGGUUUAGGGGAAGGAAAUAGAAAGUAAGGGGAUUUCAUUGUUGUAACUAACUCUGCCAGCUUAGCAAAGUAGUGGUAUUGUAUAUAAGUUAUGCGUACACCAAAAAUCAGCCAUCAAAUCAGCUACUCGUAUAGAAUACAUAUAGAAAUACAAUAUACAUUGAAAAUGAGCAAAGCAACACAUAGUGUGCACAUAGAAUUUUUGGUAUAUAAAAGAUAAGAAUCAUAUUGGAAAUUAGGCUGGACUGGAUCCAUAGGAGAGUAAUAGGCUCUCUUAUGCUCUUUGUAUCUUCCCUUUCUCUGCAUAUUUCUUACUACAUUCACUAAUACAUUUUCAGAGGCAAGAAUGAUAUCUUAAUAAUAUUGUUCAGCCCAUCUGCUUCUAUUCCAUCUUCUCUAUUUUCUACUCUAUUAUCUGUUUUAUCUUUUAGUUGAGCUGCAAAGGUACUAGGAUCUUACAGAAAUCUACAAGGAUUACAUAAUGUUUCUACAAAUUGUGUUUUGAUAGACCUGCUCAGAGCUGUUGAAAUAAUGGAAAAAAACGAAGUAACUUGCUACAAGAUUGACACAAAAACAAGCACGAGUUUCGUAAAAUGUUUUUCAAAGGAACAUUUAGAAGUUGGCAAUAUAGUGAGAUGCUGGUACAUAUUAAUUACUUGUAGAAGGUAAUAGAAGAACGUUUUCAUUGAAGGAAGUAGAAUUUCUCAUAAUCAAUUAACUGGAGCAAUAUAAUCAAUCUGUAGCUUAUUUAUGUUGAUUAGGUGUAUGAUAUUAUAUUAUGACCAUGACCAUAGUUGUAGGAGUAGUAAUAUUAAAACAAGAAAUUCAUGAAAGAAUAGUGUUGAAAUAGAAAACGGUUCAUAGUUGUUCCUUAACAAUAGGGAAUUGACUAAGAUAGAAUAGUUGUUCCUUAUAAUUUACAUGGAUAUCAUUAUUUGAUAUGUACAUAGCUCGCUUGCAAUUGCAAGGAGCUUGUUCUAAAUGUAAUUCUUUCUUUUUUUUUUAUUUCUGAUUUUAUCCGGGUUAUUUGUCUUAUUCAACAGGGGAUUAAUGAUUGGAAUGUCCUUGGUCAUUUAUUGUAAAUAGCAUGAUUGAAAACACUUGCAAAAAAAAAAUCUAUUUUAUAAUGACUAUUAAGCAUGAUUGAGUGUAAAAAUCCCUGAAUUAUUUUUGUAGGGAAGAAAGAGGCAACAGCAACUCAUCGUGAAAAAAUCGUUGUUAAAGUUACUCUUAUUAUUUCGAUUGAAUGUUGCAGUUAUUAAAUAGUUAAAUUUCAAGUCAAUUCAUUUGCAACAUUUCUUUAAAAAGCUGUUAUAUGCACAAAAGAAUCAACUAUUAAAUUAGUUAUUGUACGAGACUUUGUUAGUACGGAUUGGAUUGAGGGAAGGAUCAAGGACUUGCCGGUCUCGUUGAUGAUGUGAUCGGAUUUCUAGAAUGGGAAUGACACUUGCAAAGAUACUCUAUUGCUCAAGUUAAAAUUGAUCUAAGAGAUAUAAGUGAGGAUUAGGAGUGUGUAAUGUACCCAAGGGAGCAUUUUGCUCCCUUUAUAUAGUUUUGUCUUGUUAUUUUAUCUUAUCUUAUUUGCUAAGAUAAGAGAUGUAUUUGAAUUUAAAUGUUGGUUGGUGAUGACCAGUUAGUUUGGACCAUAGAGAAGGUUUUGGUCCUAGGAGCCUUGUUGUUGGAUCGUUUUGGGGUCUUCGGAAGCUAGGCCCAGAACAGUUGCUCCUGAAAUGGGAAGAUAAGAUUGCUUAAUCUCUUCGCUGACAUAGUUCAUCUUUCUGUGAGUUGGGAGGUUGCCGACCUCGCCUAGGAAGGUGGAACAUUGCCUUGCGUUUUCGAAGGUCCUUGGAUUCUCUGGUAGGCUGUUUCGACGUUUCUGUUAUGGCUUACGAGUUCAGUUUCUCGUAUUAUCCGGGACAUCUAGAGUUAGCAAAUGGGAUGAAGGGCUGUUUCCACUUCUGUUACCUUUCGCGAUGGUGAGUUUUCGUCCGUUAUGCUUUCCAAGUUGUUAUAAUGACGCUUAAUAAAGGGGGAAGUUUGGAUUUUCCAUUUCUGCUCCUCGUCACUCCGUAUUUCCAUUUGAAAGUUGAGGGUUUUAUUUUUUCCCUUAUUGUAACUGCUCUCUCUUUACAUUUUCUUUUAUUGUUUUUCAACUUUUCUGCUAAGCAUUCUUUGUCUUUGGUACUGUGCCUUGGCUUGGUUGUGCUUGGUUGUUUGAGGCUUUUAGCAUUGCAUUUCUUGUGUCCGUUGCUACAAUCGUCACUUUCGUUCGGCUUU